rnacentral:rRNA from 2 species
UUUCCAGAGAUGGAUUGGUGCCUUCGGGAACCGUGAGACAGGUGCUGCAUGGCUGUCGUCAGCUCGUGUUGUGAAAUGUUGGGUUAAGUCCCGCAACGAGCGCAACCCUUAUCCUUUGUUGCCAGCGAUUCGGUCGGGAACUCAAAGGAGACUGCCAGUGAUAAACUGGAGGAAGGUGGGGAUGACGUCAAGUCAUCAUGGCCCUUACGACCAGGGCUACACACGUGCUACAAUGGCGCAUACAAAGAGAAGCGACCUCGCGAGAGCAAGCGGACCUCAUAAAGUGCGUCGUAGUCCGGAUUGGAGUCUGCAACUCGACUCCAUAAAGUCGGAAUCGCUAGUAAUCGUGGAUCAGAAUGCCACGGUGAAUACGUUCCCGGGCCUUGUACACACCGCCCGUCACACCAUGGGAGUGGGUUGCAAAAGAAGUAGGUAGCUUAACCUUCGGGAGGGCGCUUACCACUUUGUGAUUCAUGACUGGGGUGAAGUCGUAACAAGGUAACCGUAGGGGAACCUGCGGUUGGAUCACCUCCUUACCUUAAAGAAGC